rnacentral:rRNA from 1 species
AACCAAGAAAUUUAGUCAUUCUUUUACGGUAAAAAGACAGUUAAGCAGAGAAUAAAGGAUCAUUAGACCCUUAAUAUAGGAGUAAAAUCCAAAUAUUAAGAGUUAUAUCAGAUGUGGUUUAUUAAAGAUGCUGAGUCUGUGAUAGCUUUAAGGGAAACUGGGAUUGGAUACCCCAUUAUUUUUAGUUGUAAACUUAGUUUAGGCUUACCGGAGUACUACGAAUAAAAAAGUUUAAAACUCAAAGGGCUUGGCGGUGUUUUAGACCUCUCAGGGGAACCUGUCUCAUAAUCGACAAUCCGCGUUAAACCUGACCUUUUAUAGCAAUACAGCCUGUAUACCGUCGUCGCCAGGUAACUUCUUAAAAUAUAGUAGUUAGCCCGAGAAUCAAGUUAAUUAAAACGUCAGAUCAAGGUGCAGCUAAUAAAAAGGUGAGGAUGGGUUACAAUUAUAUAUUUGUAAAUACGGAAAACACUUGAAACAAAGUGUCUUAAAGGAGGACUUGAAAGUAAUUCUAAUUAUAUAAAUAGGAUGAAUAAGGCUCUGAAACGUGC